rnacentral:rRNA from 1 species
GAUGAACGCUGGCGGCGUGCCUAAUACAUGCAAGUCGAGCGAACAGACGAGUAGCUUGCUCCUCUGACGUUAGCGGCGGACGGGUGAGGAACACGUGGUGAACCUACCUAUAGGACUAGGAUAACUUCGUGAAACCGGUGCUAAUACCGGAUACUAUAUUGAGCCUGAUGUUGCAAGAGUUAAAGACGGGUUUGCGGUCACUUUAGGAUGGAUCCGCGGCGCAGUAGCUAGUUGGUAAGGUAACGGCCUACCAACGCGACGAUGCGUAGCCGGACGGAGAGGGUGGGCGGCAACAUUGGGACUGAGAGACGGCCCAGACGCCUACGGGAGGCAGCAGUGGGGAAUAUUGCACAAUGGGCGCAAGCCUGAUGCAGCGACGCCGCGUGGGGGAUGACGGCCUUCGGGUUGUAAACUCCUUUCGCCAGGGACGAAGCGUUUUGUGACGGUACCUGGAGAAGAAGCACCGGCUAACUACGUG